UACGGGGGGGGCAAGCGUUGUUCGGAAUUACUGGGCGUAAAGGGCUCGUAGGUGGCCAACUAAGUCAGACGUGAAAUCCCUCGGCUUAACCGGGGAACUGCGUCUGAUACUGGAUGGCUUGAGUUUGGGAGAGGGACGCGGAAUUCCAGGUGUAGCGGUGAAAUGCGUAGAUAUCUGGAGGAACACCGGUGGCGAAGGCGGUUCUCUGGGCCUUACCUGACGCUGAGGAGCGAAAGCGUGGGGAGCGAACAGG
rnacentral:rRNA from 1 species